GCUGGCUCAGUGGGAGAGCACCUGCUUGGCAUGCAGAAGGUCUUCGGUUCAAUCCCCAGCAGCUGCA